rnacentral:rRNA from 1 species
UGGGGAAUUUUGGACAAUGGGCGAAAGCCUGAUCCAGCAAUGCCGCGUGUGUGAAGAAGGCCUUCGGGUUGUAAAGCACUUUUGUCCGGAAAGAAAUCCUUGGCUCUAAUACAGUCGGGGGAUGACGGUACCGGAAGAAUAAGCACCGGCUAACUACGUGCCAGCAGCCGCGGUAAUACGUAGGGUGCAAGCGUUAAUCGGAAUUACUGGGCGUAAAGCGUGCGCAGGCGGUUUGCUAAGACCGAUGUGAAAUCCCCGGGCUCACCUGGAACUGCAUUGGUGACUGGCAGGCUAGAGUAUGGCAGAGGGGGGUAGAAUUCCACGUGUAGCAGUGAAAUGCGUAGAGAUGUGGAGGAAUACCGAUGGCGAAGGCAGCCCCCUGGCAAGUACUGACGCUCAUGCACGAAAGCGUGGGGAGCAAACAGGAUUAGAUACCCUGGUAGUCCACGCCCUAAACGAUGUCAACUAGUUGUUGGGGAUUCAUUUCCUUAGUAACGUAGCUAACGCGUGAAGUUGACCGCCUGGGGAGUACGGUCGCAAGAUUAAAACUCAAA